AUUGAACGCUGGCGGCAGGCUUAACACAUGCAAGUCGAGCGGAGCGAGGGUGCUUGCACCUUAGCUUAGCGGCGGACGGGUGAGUAAUGCUUAGGAAUCUGCCUAUUAGUGGGGGACAACAUUCCGAAAGGAAUGCUAAUACCGCAUACGCCCUACGGGGGAAAGCAGGGGAUCUUCGGACCUUGCGCUAAUAGAUGAGCCUAAGUCGGAUUAGCUAGUUGGUGGGGUGAAGGCCUACCAAGGCGACGAUCUGUAGCGGGUCUGAGAGGAUGAGCCGCCACACUGGGACUGAGACACGGCCCAGACUCCUACGGGAGGCAGCAGUGGGGAAUAUUGGACAAUGGGCGGAAGCCUGAUCCAGCCAUGCCGCGUGUGUGAAGAAGGCCUUUUGGUUGUAAAGCACUUUAAGCGAGGAGGAGGCUCUUAAGGUUAAUACCCUUGAUGAGUGGACGUUACUCGCAGAAUAAGCACCGGCUAACUCUGUGCCAGCAGCCGCGGUAAAAC
rnacentral:rRNA from 1 species